CGCCCCUCCUCUCGAUCCACCGCUCCCGCUGCGACCUCUGCUCUCCCUCGUCUCCCGCUCCACCGCCGCCGCCCCAUCUACCGCUCCGUCGCUGCCCCUACUGCUCCACCGGACCGACCUCUUCUUCGAGCGCGACGGCAGGAGCAGCUCCACCUCUCCAUUCCCCCCACGCGAUAACACUCCUGACCCCCACCCCAUGCCCGGCCGCCGCUAGGGUUUCAACCUUCGCUGCCCCGCCGCCACCUCUCCUCACUUUCCCCCACCGCCGCCCCACUGUGCCCCCUCUCAUGUUUCGAUCUGGAAAACGGGAAGGAGAUGAUGAGCAGAGCGGUCAAAUCCAUGGCGGGCGGUGCCUCCCCAAGCUCCCGUCGGGGCGAGGCACUGGAGGCCGCCACCCUCGCCUCUCACGUGCAUCACGGUUCUGGAUCGGCCGCCAGCAUGCUUGAGGUGCAGCCUUUCCCCUUCCCCUAUCUCUUCUCUCUCUCACUCCUACCAUCCUGGUUUCCUGAGUUCCGGCUGCUUGCGGAGUGGGCAUGGAAGGAGCGGUGCUGGGCUAGAAAGUAAGGGAGUGGAUCGGCCGCCGGCAUGCUCGCCGCCGUGCCAUCCGUGUCCCUCCAAUGAUGCCCUGUAUCGCCCACGUCCAGGUCCUCCAGAUCCUAAUUAUGCUAUGGCAUUUGAUUUUGCACAUGUACGUAACAAAGUUGAUUUUGUACACUGUUGUUGCUGAGAUCGCUACCCUUAUUCUUAGUUUUUGCAGGUAGAAAAAUUAAGGGAAAUCAAAGUCAAAAGAACUGAAAAUUCUAUGCACUGUGUCUACAAGAAGUAAAAGCUGCCUAUUCCUACAAAAAGUAUGCAUAUGAGCAUAUCACAUAAGGAUAAGGAUCCACGAGUGGGUAUUACUUUCAGAACGUUUGUUAGAAUCAUUCUUUAUACGAACUUGACUGUACUUUCAGCCACAGAGCUGCAAAUUUCAUGGGCUAAUGCAUGAUAUGAUAGCAUAAUAUAAUCUGGAGGACCUUCAGACUUGGCUCUCUGCUGGGGCGAAGGCUGUGAAGUGGUUUGCCGUAGAUUCAGAGGCCAUUUUUCUUACCAAUCUGUACAUGCUCUACAGUUCAGAGCUGGUUUUUAUUUUUCCUUAAAGAAAUCCGUUUUAAUUUUCUGCUGGUUUUUGCUUUAUCUUCUUUAGCUCACAUUCUUCUAUAACAUGGUGCUUUUUUAUCUCUUAUGAACGUAAGUAGCAUGCAUCGCAGUGCUCGACAGUGACAAGUAGGUUCUGCAGGGAACCAUGGUGCUAUGUGUGAAUAGCUUAAAAUUGCAGUCAGGAGGAUGUUGUCGGGCCUCCUGGGACGGAUAUAUCCUACUAAGUGAAAGUUGCCGCGGCGGAGACUGACUUUACUUCUUCUUCAGGUGUUCUAUUCUAUUUAGUUAAAUUAAUUGGAGGUGACCUAAUUGAAGCAUUUGUUUCUCAUGAUCAGAUUGGCCGAUGAUACAGCAUACAGUCCAACCUGGCUUGGCAAGGUACAUUAAAAUGUAUCAUUCUGCAGUAUGAAAGAUGUAACUCGAUCCACUGUGUCUGAUCAUAAGGUGACAAUGGCGGCACAACAGCCAGGAGGAGACGGUGGCGAGCCCCCCUCCUCCAACUGUAGCAAUCCACCAGGCGGCGGCACGAACGACCUUCAUCUCUAGAUGCUUCCCUGCACACCGAUGAGAUUCACGCCGAUGGUCUUGACUUAUGACCAAUGUCCUUCGGGCCUGAAAUCCCUGUAGUACCCAAGGUCAAGUGAUCACUGCCGCGCCUCGCUGUGUCCUAACUCCUGACCAAUGUCCUUCAGCCUCCGGUAGCUCAUUCACUUUUUAGUGUUCCAUCUCCUUCUGUCAAGGUUUAAUGUUCUUGUACUAUUUUUCCGAGACAUGGUCACGGUUUCUUUAUGCAUGAUUUUUUAAAGAAAUCAAAAAUCUUGUUAUGUAAUGUUUAGUAUCUCUUUGUACCUCUGAUUUAUGCACCAAACUAGAGGGGGGCCAUGAAGGCAUGGAUGUUCAAUAUCUUUUCCAAUAAUAUAUGGUGAAAAAACAAUUUGAUUUUCAUAUACUUGUGUCUUUCAUGUUCACUUGGUCCAUUAGUUUAAUUUUUCUUGAACUUCUAUUUGGAAGGAGGCAAAUUGAUCAGAUGUCACCAUCUCACAUCUCAGUGCCAGUCUAUUACAACAUUGGCACAUAUUAUUCUGAUAUGUAAUAUUCUGAAUAAUAAUUUGAUUAUGUCCAAGUGAACAGUAGAAGAAUUAUCUGUCAGUGCAUAGAGUAUUUUCGACUUUCACCAUCGAGUCUUUGUAGGUAAGUUGUAUUUGUUUAAUCUACUGACACGUGCAUAUUUGACAUGGAAUGCAUGAAGGGCCACACCUAAUUGAUGUUCUCAUAAUGCUACCAUAAUACUAUGGUUCCCCUUUCUCAGUUCUGGGAAAGAGUUCACUUCAAGAAUUUGCUUUUCUUUUUGUUCACUUUCAAUUCCCCUUUGUCAAUCCCUCUCUCAUUUGACUGCAGGAUACUGUGCUUACUCCCAUCUCUCGUUUGAUCACAGGCUUUCAAAGGUGGGGCAUGGGCUCAGAGGUGAGGCCACUAGCGGUUCAACUUUGCACAUACAAGAAAAUAAAAUCAAGGUUCUGCCGCUGAAUAGAUAUUGUGUUGUAAACUUUAACAUACACACACACAUGGAUAAGUCAGUUAAUCAUUGCCUUCUGUGAUCAAAUUGGCUUGCUAUUGUGAAGGAAGUGAGUUGUUUGCUUCUGCUUCUGUGAUCAUGGGUUAGUUGAAAUCAGAAUGUAUAAUUAAUUAUUAGAGAAUGUCGCUCACAGUUAAUUUCUAUAAAUCUGCACUUCAAGCUAAAUGUGUGCAAUUUCUGUUGGGUUCCAAUAUAGAAAUUUGGACAAUAUAUAAGGAUCAAUACAAAUCCCGCUGCCUUCCGAUGAAUAGAUCUUUCAAAGGACAUCUUCUAAGACAGCAUCCACACAUUGUUCUUGCAUAUAAAUCAUAUAAAUGGAUUCAUUCAGAUUUAUUUUGUUUCAUGUCCAUGAAAGUUCUCUCAUCUUUUGAUGUGUGUUUUCUGUAGGGACUUACUUGGUGUGAAAAUUAUGCUCCAGCUUUAAUAGCUAAUAUCAGGAACUAUGUUUUAGUGUUUAUUCCUUACCACUUCCAUCCAAUAAACUAAUGUGCCUACUUUUGUACAAUGUUCUUAACUGAAGUGGAUUGUUCAUGCAGGCACAAAUUGGACUGACAAAUGCUGAUAGAGGAGGAGAACACCAUGCAAGCUGCCGCGACAGAAAACUGGGAGCCCCCUAGGAACAAAAUAAAAAAGGUCCCAACCUCAUGUCGAUGCUUAUCUUAAAAACUUGGCAUGAAUUUUGUUAUACUUGCUAAAACAUCGUAGGAAUGAAGCUAAAGGCGACUUUCCUGAUAUUGUGAAAGAAUUUUUUAAGCGCAUCAUCUAGAUAUUGAUAGUUUUGUAAUAGAUGUUAAGGUCGAACAUCGCUCAGUUUGUUACAUGCACAUGUCGUUAAUCUUUCUUUUUGUUAUCAA